rnacentral:misc_RNA from 1 species
UCAAACUUGGUCAUUUAGAGGAAGUAAAAGUCGUAACAAGGUUUCCGUAGGUGAACCUGCGGAAGGAUCAUUAUUGAAUGUGCUUGACAGGUUGUCGCUGGCCUUUCGAGGCAUGUGCACGCUUGUCUUGACUCUAUUCAUCCACCUGUGCACUUUUUGUAGUCUCUUCUUAUUGUGGGUCAUGAAAGGGAACGGAUGGCUGGGUUUUUCAUAUCCCGGUUAUGAAGUCCCUUCUGACCUUGAAGAGAACUAUGUCUUUUCUAUCACACACUCUGUAGCAUGUUGUCAGAAUGUAUCACCAGGCCAUUGUGCCUAUAAAAACUAUAUACAACUUUCAGCAACGGAUCUCUUGGCUCUCGCAUCGAUGAAGAACGCAGC